rnacentral:rRNA from 1 species
GCUUGCUGAUAUCAUUGUUGCUCGAGUUCUAGUUUUAGAUCUUUUACAAUAAUGUGUAUCUUUAUUGAAGAUAUGAGACAGUUGCGCUGCUUCUUUAAAGUGUCGCAGUAGAAGAAAACAAUGCUUGAAUCUCAGUCAACGUUUACACACAUUGGAGUUUUUUUACUUUAAUUUAAUUCUUUCUGCUUUGAAUCGAAAGGUUCAAGGCAAAAAACAAACACAAACAAUUUUAUUUUAUUAUAAUUUUUUAAACUAAACCAAAAUUCCUAACGGAAAUUUUAAAAUAAUUUAAAACUUUCAACAACGGAUCUCUUGGUUCUCGCAUCGAUGAAGAACGUAGCGAAUUGCGAUAAGUAAUGUGAAUUGCAGAUACUCGUGAAUCAUUGAAUUUUUGAACGCACAUUGCGCCCUUGAGCAUUCUCAAGGGCAUGCCUGUUUGAGCGUCAUUUCCUUCUCAAAAGAUAAUUUUUUAUUUUUUGGUUGUGGGCGAUACUCAGGGUUAGCUUGAAAUUGAAGAUUGUUUCAAUCUUUUUUAAUUCAACACUUAGCUUCUUUGGAGACGCUGUUCUCGCUGUGAUGUAUUUAUGAAUUUAUUCGUUUUACUUUACAAGGGAAAUGGUAAUGUACCUUAGGCAAAGGGUUGCUUUUAAUAUUCAUCAAGUUUGACCUCAAAUCAGGUAGGAUUACCCGCUGAACUUAAGCAUAUCAAUAGCCGGGAGGGAAGGAAGAAUUAGAUUGAAUUAUCAUUGUUGCUGAGUUCUAGUUUUUAGA